rnacentral:rRNA from 1 species
UCCAGACUCCUACGGGAGGCAGCAGUGAGGAAUAUUGGCCAAUGGGCUUACGCCUGAACCAGCCAAGUCGCGUGAGGGAAGACUGCCCUAUGGGUUGUAAACCUCUUUUGCCGGGGAGCAAGCGUGCGUUCGUGAACGCGCGUCGAGAGUACCCGGAGAAAAAGCAUCGGCUAACUCCGUGCCAGCAGCCGCGGUAAUACGGAGGAUGCGAGCGUUAUCCGGAUUUAUUGGGUUUAAAGGGUGCGUAGGCGGGAUGCCAAGUCAGCGGUAAAAAUGCGGUGCUCAACGCCGUCGAGCCGUUGAAACUGGCAGUCUCGAGUUGGAGAGAAGUAUGCGGAAUGCGCGGUGUAGCGGUGAAAUGCAUAGAUAUCGCGCAGAACUCCGAUUGCGAAGGCAGCAUGCCGGCUCCACACUGACGCUGAGGCACGAAAGCGUGGGUAUCGAACAGGAUUAGAUACCCCCGUA